rnacentral:rRNA from 1 species
AACGAACGCUGGCGGCAUGCCUAACACAUGCAAGUCGAACGAGACCUUCGGGUCUAGUGGCGCACGGGUGCGUAACGCGUGGGAACCUGCCCUUAGGUUCGGAAUAACUCCCCGAAAGGGGUGCUAAUACCGGAUAAUGUCUUCGGACCAAAGAUUUAUCGCCUUUGGAUGGGCCCGCGUUGGAUUAGCUAGUUGGUAGGGUAAAAGCCUACCAAGUCGACGAUCCAUAGCUGGUCUGAGAGGAUGAUCAGCCACACUGGGACUGAGACACGGCCCAGACUCCUACGGGAGGCAGCAGUGGGGAAUAUUGGACAAUGGGCGAAAGCCUGAUCCAGCAAUGCCGCGUGAGUGAUGAAGGCCUUAGGGUUGUAAAGCUCUUUUACCCGGGAUGAUAAUGACAGUACCGGGAGAAUAAGCUCCGGCUAACUCCGUG